AAUAUACGCUAGAAAUUUAUUAUCGCUUAAUUUCGCGAGAAGCAUCACUCGCGAAAUAAAAUUAUUCGCUUUUAUUUUUAUAUUGUUAAAACACAUGUGAAGACUCUUGAUCAACAGAGCACUCGCGAAUUGAUGUUAUCCCGAUUUGACAUAUAGGAGUCAUUUCGCGAUAUUAAGUACUCGCUAAAAUAAGGAAUCAGUAUAUAGUCGUUAUAACUAUCUAGUUCGUCAAUACAACCAGCGAUUGGGUCAAGUUCUGUCUGACGUGUUUCUUAUCAAUUGCUAGGUUGUUCUUGGCACACUGAUUCUAACUACCACCUACUCCGAACAAGAUAUAUGCCUUUUGAGGUUUGGGGCGGAUGUGAUCGGUCUGCAGGGGAUGAUUACUUUUCGUAGGCACCUGAUUCCACCUCUGGUGACUCCAGAGGUCCGUGUUUGCCCACCUCUUUGAUAUUCAAAGAACACGGAUUAUCCCCUGGUCAUCACACUUUGAAAUAUUCCGAGAUGGACAUAGAAAGAUAGAAGUGACAGGAAAGAUCAAAGUUGCCUGACAAGAAGCGUCGUCGAUUAGAAUUGAAGCAGGACAGAAUUACCCAAAAGAGAAGACAAUGAAGCAGCUGAAGGAGAUACAUAUCAAUCAGAAUUGGACUUUCUGACCAAGUUGACAUCCAGACUAUUCCUGAUGCAGUUCCCAAACCAGGAUUCGCCAAAGUCGACCACCUGAACGAAGUUCAAGAGAAUAGGGUCAUUGUCGACCUAGAAACUACAGGAUUUAUUCAGCGUGGACUAAUGCCUAUAUCACACAGAUUGCUGCACCAGUAAUGAAUUCUGAUGCCGAGUGUUCAUGUUAUGUUUUACCUAAAGUACUCAUCAAUGAAAAAGCUGAUCAGAUAACUGGUAUAUCCUGGAAUGGUGAACACACGACUGUGCAGGUGGUAACUGUAUCGAUAACAGAAGCCCUUUCAAAAUCUUUAUUUUUUAAAAAGAACAUUAGCAGUGUUGUUUUGCUUUCACACAAUGGAAGAGAGUUUACUUCUGUGUUCUAUCCUAUGCUAUAUGUAGAGUGGGGAUGUUGAAUGAAUUUUCAAAUCAUGUUUUAACAUUUGUGGAUUCUUUGUUACCAUUGCGUUGAAAAGUUUCAAAACUCGGUUCUUAUAAGCAAGAACUUCGCUGUUCUUUUAGAUUUGAC